GUGUCCUGGUGGGGACUUCCAAGCCACAGGACCAGGAGACAAGGACAGCAGGAAGUCGUAAGCGCUCACGGCUGCUACAACGCAGGGGAGUCCGAGGCGUCCGUGUGCUCAGAUCAGAUCUUAGAAUCCACUACUAGAUCUGCCAACGGGACAAGUUUGUGGCCAGGACCAUCUUGGAGGUUCUAGGAUACGUGAACCAGCUUUCUCUGCUUUGAACUCUUACUUUGAACGUGGUUCUCUGGCAGAGCAGAAGGAAAUGCUCACACUUGGCACAUGGGGUUCCCAUCAGGGUUCCUCUUACUAACUCGAAGCCAGAAACGGUCUCAUCAGAGAUGGUCCAAAAGAACUUGAUGUGCUCUGGUUGUUACAAAACCUGUUUUCCAUUCCCCACGACUGCGCUGGCCAAGGGCAACACCUCGUCAACCCGAGUGGCCGGGCCAGUGGGUAGCUGAGCUUCCGAGGGCUUUCUCUGCUUUCUGGAGGAAGAAGCUUCUGCUGUGCCAAGGUCUCACCUCCCUUGGCUCGGGAGGGUCCCAGGAGUGACCUCUCGCAGCCAAGGUGGCGGACAGGUCACACUUCAGAGCUCCAAAGGGCGACUCAUGGGUGAAAAAUUCUGGAGCCCUGGGACUUAAGAAAUUGAUGUUAUGGAAAGAUGUCCAUAUUACAGGAAUCCUUCCUUGCAAUGUCAUUCGGUCUCUCCUCCCUGACUUCCCAGUGUGGGAGGCAGAACAGCAGCCCAAGAAUUGUCCACGGCCUAAUCCCCGGAACCUGGGAAUGUGCGCGUACAUGGCCAAAGGGAUUUGGCAGAUGUGACUAACAAUGGAGAGAUUGUUCUGCGUUAUCUGGGCGGCCCAGUGUCAUCACAAGGACUCUUACAAGGGGAGCACUAGACAUGAAAGGAGAAGGCAAUGUGUGAUGGAGCAGAGAUUGCGAAGGAUGCUUUUUAAAGAUGGCGGAAGGAACACAGGCAGCCAGUAGGAGCUCGAAAGGCAAGGAAACGGGUUCUCCUCCCACCGCUCCCUGCAGGUGCUGGCGUCCCUAUCAUCACUCCUAUCUGUGUCCCCCCCUUGAUGUUCUCUUGACACUCAUUGUAGCCUGAUUCCACCUGUCUUCACUCGUUGGGACGGAGAAAGGAUGAGGCACUAAAAGCCGCCACCGAAGGACUACCUAGCGGACCGCCAGUGCAUCGACAUAAUGGACUCGUCUCCGUGGAACAAACCGCUAAGGACUCAGGACUGUGGUGAGAACAAAGCAGAUGAAUGAAUGCGACAACGGUCAUUGAUGUGUCCAGUUUCGCCACCGGGACAGAGGCCGGCAGGACAGCCCCCAGCUGCAUCAGGGAGCAUCAGCUGAGGUGGGUCCCUAAGGCAGGAGGAUCUGUUUCCAAGAUGGCUCCCUCAUGGGGCUGGCCAGGUGGUGUUAUUGGCAGAAACCCGACCGGGGCUAUAAUCCUGGAGCCCAAAUGAUCCUCCACUUGGACUUUCCAUGCGGUUUCUUGUCAACUGGGUUCUAAGAGAGAGGCGGAAAUUGGCAGUCUUCUUAAACGGUAGGCAUGGAACUUACUAGCAUGGCGUAGCCUCCAUCAUACGUAUCUGUUAAAGCAGUCACGGCCCAGCCCAGACCCACGGUGGUGAAGGCAUAGACGCCACCUCUCGAGGAGGGUGAGGUGCGUGCCUACUGGGGAGGCAAGAAGCCGUGGAAGCCGUCUCUUGAGACGAGAUACCACCGUCCGGUCUUUGCAAUCCCGUCUCGUCUAGUAGAGACACUCAACAGAUAUUAAACAAUUCCUCAACUCUUAUUUUUUUUUUUUAUAAAUUUUUUUAACGUUUAUUUGUUUUUGAGACAGAGAGAGACAGAGCAUGA